GGGGUCUCCACCAAGCGCAGUCUCAGAAUGCCCAAGAGCCCCACCGUCGCCCGGGGUCUCCAAGAGGAGUGGGUCGUGGUGGGCGUUGAAGGGCCGUAAAAGACGAGCAGCCCGCGUCCGCGUCCGUCCUCCCGGGUCUCCAGUCCGCAGGCGGCCGCCGCCUCGGCCCCGCCCUCCCACCUCCAUUCCCGGCCCCGCGGACCCGAACGGUCCCUCUCGCAACCGAUCUGCUGGCUGGGGCGCUGGGGAUGCGAAUUCCUAGAAGCCUUAAGAGGCUGCCCAGCGUUGGAAGUUCGUAUCCCCAAGAAUGCUGGAGGUUCCGGCUCACACACCCCCUCCGGGCACAGAGUCAGCUGGGGGGUGCUGGGAGGGAGAACGCCCCGCUCCUCACCCCCCAUCCCCGUGCACCCUGGAGCCCAGCUCCAUACGUUCGGCCACCCCAGGCGGACUCGGGGUGGCCGGGUAGCGGGUGGUGGCAGGAGGGGACCGGGUAACGGCAGGCCCGAGAGGAGGUCGCUGGGCCGGGCCGGAGGCGCACAGGGGCUGCGUGGCUACCUCGGCGGCACCCGCCCCACCUCCGCCGGCUAAGCCCGGAGGGGGACGGUGAGUCAGAUCUCGGG
rnacentral:lncRNA from 10 species